AAAAGUGUGUGUAACUGUGUGUAACUUCGUGAGUUGAGUGAGUGUGUUUAGACACUUUAUUUUUCGGCGUGUAUAACCCGAGGUGAUGGCGGGGCGCCACUUUAUUUUUCGGCGUGUAUAACCCGAGGUGACGGCGGGGCGCCACUUUAUUUUCAG